GACUUAAAAUCCGUUGGCUUUUUAGACCGUGAGGGUUCAAGUCCCUCUACCCCCA
rnacentral:tRNA from 31 species